UAAAUGAGGAUAGGUAGGAUUUAGGUAUGUGAAGAGGAAAUAAAUAGUUAAGACAAAUGUGGGUCCCUUGAAGACAGAAACUGGUGAAUUUAUUAUGUGAAACAAGGAGUUGGCAGACGGGUUGAACAGGUAAUUUGGGAUCUGUCUUCAGUAAGGAAGUCGCAAACAAUCUCCCAGCUGGAGGACUGGAGUACAGAG